rnacentral:rRNA from 1 species
AGGACUAACGCUGGCGGCGUGCCUAACACAUGCAAGUCGAACGAGGUAGCAAUACCUAGUGGCAGACGGGUGAGUAACGCGUGGUCAACCUACCUCUUAGUGGGGGAUAACUAGCCGAAAGGUUAGCUAAUACCGCAUACGAUCGUCGCGAGGCAUCUCGUGACGAUGAAAGGAGCAAUUCGCUAAGAGAGGGGACUGCGUCCCAUUAGUUAGUUGGUGGGGUAAUGGCCUACCAAGACUCCGAUGGGUAGCUGGCUUGAGAGAGCGACCAGCCACACUGGAACUGAGACACGGUCCAGACUCCUACGGGAGGCAGCAGUGAGGAAUUUUCCGCAAUGGGCGCAAGCCUGACGGAGCGACGCCGCGUGUGGGAGAGGCCUUCGGGUCGUAACCACUGUCGAAGGGGACGAUAUUGACGGUACCCUUGGAGGAGCCCGGCUAACUACGUGCCAGCAGCCGC